UACGAAGGGGGCUAGCGUUGCUCGGAAUCACUGGGCGUAAAGCGCACGUAGGCGGCUUACUAAGUCAGAGGUGAAAGCCUGGAGCUCAACUCCAGAACUGCCUUUGAUACUGGUGAGCUUGAGUUCGGGAGAGGUGAGUGGAACUGCGAGUGUAGAGGUGAAAUUCGUAGAUAUUCGCAAGAACACCAGUGGCGAAGGCGGCUCACUGGCCCGAUACUGACGCUGAGGUGCGAAAGCGUGGGGAGCAAACAGG
rnacentral:rRNA from 1 species